rnacentral:rRNA from 1 species
UACGUAGGGUGCGAGCGUUGUCCGGAAUUACUGGGCGUAAAGAGCUUGUAGGUGGUUUGUCGCGUUGUUCGUGAAAUCUCACGGCUUAACUGUGAGCGUGCGGGCGAUACGGGCAGACUAGAGUACUGCAGGGGAGACUGGAAUUCCUGGUGUAGCGGUGAAAUGCGCAGAUAUCAGGAGGAACACCGGUGGCGAAGGCGGGUCUCUGGGCAGUAACUGACGCUGAGGAGCGAAAGCGUGGGGAGCGAACAGG